rnacentral:rRNA from 1 species
UACGUAGGAGGCAAGCGUUGUCCGGAAUCACUGGGCGUAAAGCGCGUGUAGGCGGAUCGCUAAGUCUGUGGUGAAAGCGCCUGGCUUAACCGGGCGAGGUCCAUGGAAACUAGCGGUCUGGAGGCCGGUAGAGGGGGGUGGAAUUCCGGGUGUAGUGGUGAAAUGCGUAGAGAUCCGGAGGAACACCAGUGGCGAAGGCGGCCCCCUGGGCCGCGCCUGACGCUGAGACGCGACAGCGUGGGGAGCAAACAGG